UACGAAGGGGGCAAGCGUUGCUCGGAAUUACUGGGCGUAAAGGGCGCGUAGGCGGCUUACCAAGUCAGGCGUGAAAUUCCCGGGCUCAACCUGGGGGCUGCGCUUGAUACUGGUGAGCUUGAAUGCGGGAGAGGAUAGUGGAAUUCCCAGUGUAGAGGUGAAAUUCGUAGAUAUUGGGAAGAACACCGGUGGCGAAGGCGGCUAUCUGGCCCGGAAUUGACGCUGAGGCGCGAAAGCGUGGGGAGCAAACAGG
rnacentral:rRNA from 1 species